AUUGAACGCUGGCGGCAGGCCUAACACAUGCAAGUCGAGCGGUAGAGAGAAGCUUGCUUCUCUUGAGAGUGGCGGACGGGUGAGUAAAGCCUAGGAAUCUGCCUGGUAGUGGGGGAUAACGUUCGGAAACGGACGCUAAUACCGCAUACGUCCUACGGGAGAAAGCAGGGGAUCUUCGGGCCUUGCGCUAUCAGAUGAGCCUAGGUCGGAUUAGCUAGUUAGUGAGGUAAUGGCUCACCAAGGCGACGAUCCGUAACUGGUCUGAGAGGAUGAUCAGUCAAACUGGAACUGGGACACGGUCUAGACUCCUACGGGAGGCAGCAGUGGGGAAUAUUGGACAAUGGGCGAAAGCCUGAUCCAGCCAUGCCGCGUGUGUGAAGAAGGUCUUCGGAUUGUAAAGCACUUUAAGUUGGGAGGAAGGGCAUUAACCUAAUACGUUAGUGUUUUGACGUUACCGACAGAAUAAGCACCGGCUAACUCUGUGCCAGCCGCCGCGGUAA
rnacentral:rRNA from 1 species